UGUGGAGCCGUCCUUGAAAUACCACCCUUGUAGUGUUGAUGUUCUAACGUUGACCCCUUAUCGGGGUUGCGGACAGUGCCUGGUGGGUAGUUUGACUGGGGCGGUCUCCUCCCAAAGAGUAACGGAGGAGCACGAAGGUGGGCUAAUCACGGUUGGACAUCGUGAGGUUAGUGCAAUGGCAUAAGCCCGCUUGACUGCGAGAAUGACAAUUCGAGCAGGUGCGAAAGCAGGUCAUAGUGAUCCGGUGGUUCUGAAUGGAAGGGCCAUCGCUCAACGGAUAAAAGGUACUCCGGGGAUAACAGGCUGAUACCGCCCAAGAGUUCAUAUCGACGGCGGUGUUUGGCACCUCGAUGUCGGCUCAUCACAUCCUGGGGCUGAAGUCGGUCCCAAGGGUAUGGCUGUUCGCCAUUUAAAGUGGUACGCGAGCUGGGUUUAGAACGUCGUGAGACAGUUCGGUCCCUAUCUGCCGUGGGCGUUGGAAGAUUGAAGGGGGCUGCUCCUAGUACGAGAGGACCGGAGUGGACGAACCUCUGGUGUUCGGGUUGUGUCGCCAGACGCAUUGCCCGGUAGCUAAGUUCGGAAUCGAUAACCGCUGAAAGCAUCUAAGCGGGAAGCGAGCCCUGAGAUGAGUCUUCCCUGAUACUUUAAGUAUCCUAAAGGGUUGUCGGAGACUACGACGUUGAUAGGUCAGGUGUGUAAGUGCUGUGAGGCAUUGAGCUAACUGAUACUAAUUGCCCGUGAGGCUUAACCAUACAACACCCAAGGGGUUU
rnacentral:rRNA from 1 species